GAGUUUGAUCGUGGCUCAGGAUGAACGCUGGCGGCGUGCCUAAUACAUGCAAGUCGAACGAACAGAUAAGGAGCUUGCUCCUUUGACGUUAGCGGCGGACGGGUGAGUAACACGUGGGUAACCUACCUAUAAGACUGGAAUAACUCCGGGAAACCGGGGCUAAUGCCGGAUAACAUGUUGAACCGCAUGGUUCUACAGUGAAAGACGGUCUUGCUGUCACUUAUAGAUGGACCCGCGCCGUAUUAGCUAGUUGGUGGGGUAACGGCCUACCAAGGCGACGAUACGUAGCCGACCUGAGAGGGUGAUCGGCCACACUGGAACUGAGACACGGUCCAGACUCCUACGGGAGGCAGCAGUAGGGAAUCUUCCGCAAUGGGCGAAAGCCUGACGGAGCAACGCCGCGUGAGUGAUGAAGGUCUUCGGAUCGUAAAGCUCUGUUGUUAGGGAAGAACAAAUGUGUAAGUAACUGUGCAUAUCUUGACGGUACCUAACCAGAAAGCCACGGCUAACUACGUGCCAGCCGCCGCAGU
rnacentral:rRNA from 1 species